UGUACAAAUAACAAGGUCACGUGAGACACAGCCAUCUACUAACCGUAUACAUACUGGGAACUAUUCUCAGAAGGUGAAGCACUGCUACUUGGGCGGAUGGAUUUGCCAGCAGCAGCU